rnacentral:rRNA from 1 species
UAGUCCACGCCCUAAACGAUGUUUACUCGAUAUUCGGCUCUUAGAGUUGAGUGUCCAAGGGAAACCGAUAAGUAAACCACCUGGGGAGUACGUUCGCAAGAAUGAAACUCAAAGGAAUUGACGGGGGCCCGCACAAGCGGUGGAGCAUGUGGUUUAAUUCGAUGAUACGCGAGGAACCUUACCAGGGCUUAAAUGGAGAUUGACAGGACUGGAAACAGUUUUUUCUUCGGACAAUUUUCAAGGUGCUGCAUGGUUGCCGUCAGCUCGUGCUGUGAAGUGUCGGGUUAAGUCCCAUAACGAGCGCAACCCCUAUCUUUAGUUGCCAGCGAGUAAUGUCGGGGACUCUAGAGAAACUGCCCGUGCAAACGGUGAGGAAGGUGGGGAUGACGUCAAAUCAUCACGGCCCUUACGUCCUGGGCUACACACGUGCUACAAUGGCCGGUACAGAGGGCAGCUAUCCCGCGAGGGAAUGCGAAUCUCAAAAGCCGGUCUCAGUUCGGAUCGGAGUCUGCAACUCGACU